rnacentral:rRNA from 1 species
UACGGGGGGGGCAAGCGUUGUUCGGAAUUACUGGGCGUAAAGGGCUCGUAGGCGGCCAACUAAGUCCGACGUGAAAUCCCCAGGCUUAACCUGGGAACUGCGUCGGAUACUGGAUGGCUUGAAUUCGGGAGAGGGAUGCAGAAUUCCAGGUGUAGCGGUGAAAUGCGCAGAUAUCGGGAAGAACACCCGUGGCGAAGGCGGCUCUCUGGGACGGUACUGACGCUGAGACGCGAAAGCGUGGGGAGCGAACAGG